UGCCGGAUGGGGUAAUGGUAGCCCGGCUGACUCUGGAUCAGCUAGUCUAGGUUCGAGUCCUAGUCCGGCAG
rnacentral:tRNA from 1 species